rnacentral:lncRNA from 1 species
GGGAUUCUUCUGCUCGGGUCUCCUCCUCACGAGCGCCGUCGGCGACGUACGCGAUGUGCGGUUGCGGCAGCGGCGCGCCGAGGCGGCGGUGGAGGCUCCUGAACUACGGGCUGCGGAUCAGGCCGCCGGGGUGCUUCGAGAGCGCCGUGCACGCGACCGCGGUGCGGGCCGGCAGGCGGGCGAGGAUGUUGCGGACGACAUCGUCGGGAACGCUGCUUGCUGCGCCUGACGCUCCAGCAUCGACGGCCGCCGUC